rnacentral:lncRNA from 1 species
UAGCUAUUUCAUCAGAGGAUUGUUCCUAUUAAAUACUCGAACCUUAUUGAAUAUAUGUCUAUUAAACAUAAAAAGCUGACAUGGCAAAAAAAUGUAUUCCAAACUUGUCUUAAGCGCGUGAGAAGUUCAAACAUUUCCUUUCUUUGUUAAACAAAAAUCCUUUUCUAAAAUUCACCAUUAACGUCACCAUACCACCACUGUUUUGCCAUUGCCGCCACUACAAAAGAUCUACUACAUCAUCCAUAUCUACCGCACCAUUGUCACAAUCCGCCUCCCUUUCACCAUGGAUCAACUUUACGCCACCACCAUCUUCUUACCGAACCCAAGAACCCAAUCCGGCCACCAUGAAAGCCCCUAGAGCCACCGCACAACCCCUUCUUACCAAAAACAUUUUUUCCCUUCAUCUCCAUCACGGCAUGCCACCAACGAACCCCUCCAUUAGCUCACUCCACACCGUCGAACAACCCACACGACCACACUAUUUCAAUGUUCUGUUACCGCUGCCGCCACAACAAAUUCAGCCGCCAUCGAAAUCCGAUCACCACAACACCUCUAACCAUCUUACAUUUUCUCUUCUCUUCAAAUUACCACAAUGAGAGUAGAGGGAAUAAGAAAGGAAUUUUCUAAAAAUAGAAAAAGAAAGGGAGGGUACUGGGUGGUAGAAGAAGAAAGGGAAGAUGGGAGGAAGGAUAAAAGGUUUUAUGAAACUGGACGAAGAAAGGGAGGAUGGCGAGGGCGGCUUGCUGCAACGCCGGUGCCGGCGCACGCGACGGCAGUUUUCAAUAGAUUUUUUCUUUUUCUUUUUUUUUU